AGAGUUUGAUCAUGGCUCAGGAUGAACGCUAGCUACAGGCUUAACACAUGCAAGUCGAGGGGAAACGACAUCGAAAGCUUGCUUUUGAUGGGCGUCGACCGGCGCACGGGUGAGUAACGCGUAUCCAACCUGCCCAUCACUUGGGGAUAACCUUGCGAAAGUAAGACUAAUACCCAAUGACGUCUCUAGAAGACAUCUGAAAGAGAUUAAAGAUUUAUCGGUGAUGGAUGGGGAUGCGCCUGAUUAGCUUGUUGGCGGGGUAACGGCCACAAGGCGACGAUCAGUAGGGGUUCUGAGAGGAGGUCCCCCANAUUGGAACUGAGACACGGUCCAAACUCCUACGGGAGGCA
rnacentral:rRNA from 1 species